rnacentral:rRNA from 1 species
AGAGCGAACGCUGGCGGCGUGCUUAACACAUGCAAGUCGAACGAGGUCUGUAGCAAUACAGAUACUCGUGGCGAACGGGUGCGUAACACGUGGAUAACCUUCCUUCAGGUGGGGAAUAACCCAGUGAAAAUUGGGCUAAUACCGCAUAACAUGACGAUGCCACAUGGUGUUGUCUUCAAAGGCGCAAGUCGCCAGAAGAGGGAUCCGCGGCCGAUUAGCUAGUUGGCGAGGUAAUGGCUCACCAAGGCGACGACGGGUA